rnacentral:misc_RNA from 1 species
UAUUGCUCCAAUAGCAUUCUCAGUUUUAAGGCAAAUAUUCCUAAAUAGUGGUAUAGAAGAGGCUUUAGAUAAAGCCUGUACACCAUCUACAAUCAUGGUUUUUUUAGGUAUCUUGUUCAACAGUGAGGAUAUGAUUAUGCAGGUCACUCCUGAGAAAUUAGUUGAAAUUAAAAUUAUGAUUAAAGAAUGGUUACACAAGAAAAGUUCUACAUUAAAAGAGAUACAGAAGCUAUUAGGGAAGUUAAAUUUUGUAGGGGCUUGUGUACGCUCAAGUAGGAUAUUUAUUAACAGAAUUUUGAAUUGGCUUAGAGAAUGUUAUCAGCUAAAGGGUACAUAUUUCCCAAUACCACAGGAGGUUAAAAAAGAUCUAGUAUGGUGGGAGAAAUUUCUUCCCCUAUAUAAUGGCAUCUCUUUAAUUGAUUAUGGAGAAUGGUCAAAGGCUGACGAGGUUUUUUCUUCAGAUAGUUGUCUCUCCGGUUGUGGUGGUGUUUUUGGCUCACAUUUUUUUCAUUGUGAGUAUCCUAAAUUCAUAUUAGAAUUGGGAAUACAUAUCAGUGGACUAGAACUGUUAGCAGUGAUAGUGUGUUUAAAACUAUGGUGUUCGAAUUUGAAAGGUAAAAAAGUAGUCAUUUUUUGUGAUAAUAUGGCAGCUUGCAUAGUUGUAAAUACAGGCAAAGCAAAGUGUCAAUUUUUGCAAAGAUGCUUACGGGAAAUUUGUUUCUUAGCUUCUAUAAACGAAUUUCAGUUGAAAGCAUGUCACAUUGAAGGUACGAAAAACCGUUUAUCAGAUUGUUUGUCUAGGUGGCAUUUAGAUCAGUCCUUUCAAGACGAAUUCUACAAACUAACAGUUCAUUCGGGGCCUUUAAGUGAAACAAAGGUUAAUGAGGACAGUUUCAGAUUUUCCCAUGAUUGGUAACAUAGGAGCUGUUUCAUUUUGUUUUCAGAGUUACAGUCAUUGAGAAAGGACUUGAAAAUGACUACAGCUUCAGCCUUUGCUCAAGGUUUACAAGUUAUAAUCCUAUCUGAUUCCAUUGCCAAGCAUGUGACAGGAAUUCGCCAUGCCAGUGUUAAGGCUUUUCCAGGGAUAGGGAUUACUCGCCUCACUGCCAGAAUUAAUAAUGAUUUAUCAUUAAUUUCUACACCUUUCACCAUAAUACAUGUUGGUACAAAUGAUAUUUUAAAUUAUUCAGAGGGUCAGAUAAUGAGCGCAUACAAUGAUUUGAUCUCCUCUGUCCGUAAAAACUCCAACACAUAUUUGGUACUUUCCAGUAUUCUACCCAGGCCUUUAGAUUAUGAUACAACUGGUCAGAAAGUGAAAGCAAUUAACACUCAGUUAAAGGCAUUAUGUGCUGAAAGGCAUUGUCAGUUUAUUUCAUCCUUUCGCCCUUUUUUUAAAUUUGGUCAACCAGUCAGAGCUUUAUUUGCAAUUAGGGAUGGUUUACACUUAAACUUAGAAGGCACACGUCGUCUUAGGCUUUUUUUCAUCAAUACAGUGGCUCACUUAAUUAAGUAAAAUUCAAUUUUAUAAAAUUUGGUAAUAGUCUGCCGGCUGGUUGCUACAAAUGGUAUUAUUUUUAGAAAAUUAUUUAAGUUUAUAUAUUGUGAAGUAGUGAUAAGGUAUCAGUCAGUUUAUAUAAAGAUUAUAUAACAUGAUUUACAUGUAAGAGUUCAACCUUUCUGAGGGUGGGUUUCCUGUAUUAAAGAAAUUAUUCUUUCUUUUACAGUUAGGUCUUUAAAGGAGGUAUGUGACUCCUGAGAAGAAAUUCUGAAGUGACAGUGAUAUUUGAUACUGUUCUAAGAAUUCAAUUUUUAGGGGGGGUCUUCUUAAAGGAAAUAAAAUUCCUUUGGAGAAAAGGGGGUCCAUGUUAGGAGGUAAGUUACUCCUUAUGGAUCUUUCUAUGUGUGGUAGUAAGUGAUACCAUCAUAGAAUUGGGUCAGAUAUUUAGAUAUUGGGUUGGUAUAGUUAUAACAGACAAGUUGAGUACAAAUUUAAGAAUUCAUAUAAUGUGUUUUUUCAUAUGUAUAUAUUUACAGAUCUUGAAGUGUGUUUUGAUGCCAGUAUCUGUAAGUUUAGAAUUUAGUUUUUGUCUUGUUGAUAGACAAUUUUAA